rnacentral:rRNA from 1 species
GACGAACGCUGGCGGCGUGCUUAACACAUGCAAGUCGAACGGAAAGGCCCUGCUUUUGUGGGGUUCUCGAUUGGCGCACGGGUGAGUAAAACGUGUGUAACCUGCCCCUGACUUUGGGAUAACAUCAGGAAACUGGGGCUCUUACCGGAUAUGAGCUCCUGAUGCGUGUUGUGGGUUGGUAAGUUUCGGCCGUUGGGGAUGGACUGGCGGGUUAUCAGCUUCUUUGUGGGGUAGUGGAUUACCAAGGCUUUGACGGGUAGCCGGCAUGAGAGGGGGACCGGCGACCAUGGGACUGAGAGACGGCGCAGACUCGAACGGGAGGCAGCAGUGGGGAAUAUUGCACAAUGGGGGGAAGUCUGAUGCAGCAACGCCGCGUGCGGGAUGACGGGCUACUAGUGGUAAACCGCUUUCGCCUGAGAUGAAGCGUGAGUGACGGUAAUGAGUAAAGAAGCACCGGCUAACUACGUG